rnacentral:rRNA from 1 species
UACGGAGGGUGCAAACGUUGCUCGGAAUCAUUGGGCGUAAAGCGCACGUAGGCGGCUUUGUAAGUUAGAGGUGAAAGCCCGGGGCUCAACUCCGGAAUUGCCUUUAAGACUGCAUCGCUCGAAUUGUGGAGAGGUAAGUGGAAUUCCGAGUGUAGAGGUGAAAUUCGUAGAUAUUCGGAAGAACACCAGUGGCGAAGGCGACUUACUGGACACAUAUUGACGCUGAGGUGCGAAAGCGUGGGGAGCAAACAGG